CUGCGCCCCAGGACUUCGCCCGGGAGGGACUCUCUUAGCCGUCGUGGGGCAGGCUGACCGAGAGCCAAGGCCGGCCCACUGGCCCUCGCCACAUGCCUGCGAUGUGGAGUGGUGCGUGCAGGGCCCGCCAGCAUGUGUGACGGGGACACUGAGGCAGGAAGUGUGAAGCCGCGGUUUGAAAUCUGUUUCAGUGAAGUGGGGGCACGCAAGACUCCGGAGUUCAGGUUUCCGCGCCCGACGGGCCUCCCAGCUCCUGACCCCAGUGACUGGUGUCCUUAUGGAGGAGAGGACACCAAGACACAGAGGCCACGUGAAGGAGGAGGAGGCAGAGAUUGGAGUGAUGCUGCUACAAGCCAAGGACCACUGGGUCCACUAGGAGCUACAAGAAACAAGGGGGAGGCCUCUCCCCUGGAGCCUUCCAAGGGCCUGAGACAAAUAUGCUGUACCUCCAGGGCCUUGAGAGAAUGCAUUCUGUUGUUUUUAGCGAGCUUGGCAGACCUGGUGUCAACAGCCAGGUAACAAGUACCCUCCCAGCCCUCUGUAAGUGUCUCUCACAGCACUGUCUCUGUCUCACCACAAUAUUUCUUCCUUUUUUUUGUUUGUUCAUCCACUCACAUUUGUAUCUAUUCGUCAAGUACUUCUUAAGAAUACAUUGAGGUUAUUCCCGCUACGAUAAUCCUCCCUGUGAAAAAAAUAAAGGCAGAAAUUCCUAUACA